rnacentral:misc_RNA from 1 species
GAAAUGCGAUAAGUAGUGUGAAUUGCAGAAUUCAGUGAAUCAUCGAAUCUUUGAACGCACAUUGCGCCCCUUGGUAUUCCAUGGGGCAUGCCUGUUCGAGCGUCAUUUGUACCCUCAAGCUCUGCUUGGUGUUGGGUGUUUGUCCCCGUCUCCGCGUGGACUCGCCCCAAAGUGAUUGGCAGCCGGCGUACUGGUCCCGGAGCGCAGCACAUGUCGCGCAAACGAGUGCCUUGGUACGGCGGCGUCCAUAAGCCCCUCUCUCACGCUCUUGACCUCGGAUCAGGUAGGGAUACCCGCUGAACUUAAGC